UUCUGAAUGCAAUUUAGUUAUACUCAAUUGAGUUCAACAGUGUCUGGAAGGAUGCAAGUGAAUUUGGAGACAUAUAUGAUGAGGAUCAUUUCAUAGCUUCUCUUGAAGGCUAUGUUAAAGUUGUUAGACAGCUACCUGAGAUUUUGAUGGAAAGAUACGAUCACAAUGUUACUAACAUUCCAAACUUCCGUGUCCAAGCAUGGGCUUCUGUUAGUUAUUACCAGACAGAAGUUUACCCUGUCUUGAGGGCGCAGGGAGUUAUCCGAAUUGCACCAUUUGCUAAUAGAUUGGCGAUGAAUGUUCCUCCUUAUAUUCAGUUGCUAAGAUGCAUUGCCAAUUAUAAAGCUCUGAGAUUCUCUUCACCUAUAACAACACUUGCAAAGAAACUAGUUGAGCGAAUGCUUGAGAAGAGCUUGAACACUGGAGGGAAGUAUGUUUCUGUGCACCUGCGAUUUGA